rnacentral:lncRNA from 1 species
CAGAACGGCAAGAGGGAAGGAGCCUGGGUUCCCGGAUGACCCUGGAGUAGGAUCGCCAUCCCAGUCUUGGACAAUCUACCCCUGGAGGGCCACACCAGAGAGCAGUCAACUCCACUCUGACAUGACCCUGACUAAGGCACCUCACAUUCAUCUCCCCCAGCAGAAAACAGGUUCCUUGAGGGUAAGGGCAGAGCCUGUCUGUUUCACCAGAGCUCCCAGAACAUGGCCCAGCACAUUGGAGAUCUGGGUGUGCCCCUUAUUGGCAAGAGACGUGUGGCAAAUGACCUCCCUGGCCUGUUUUCUCUUCUAUGAAAUGAGACUUAGCACCAUACUCACAGGAUUAUUGUCAAGUUUACUAAAAUGUAUGUAAAAUAUCAGACCUGUCCUGUGCCAGCAUGUAAUAGGAGCCAAAUAAAUCGUGGCUAUUGUGAGCUAUUAAGUUUUCCGAAAUCAGAUCCUGUCCCCCACCUCCCUGCUGUAAACCAUGGCUCCCUGGUUCUCUUAAGUCUGAAGUCGGUACCAUAACCCGCAAGAUCCUUUAUACCCCGAUGCUGUCCACCUUCCCAGUCUCACGGCUCAUCCUCCAAAUGACUCAGGCAGGUGCCCCUGUCCUGGCAUCCUGUCCUUCACAGUGGGGGUUGUCUUAAGGUCGGAGUGAAGGAGAUAAAUGUGCUAAGUCCAGACGACCCCUUGAAAAUGUCUUCAGUCACUCAUAGGUACAGUACCCGGACUUAGUACCUCUCAGUAAGUCCAAAACAGUCUUCCUCCAAUGUGGGAAAAUGUGGCUAUAUCUUCAGUUGAGCACCAGAUAAAGUCGCUGGCUUGCGUUUAGGGUCCUCAUGGGAUCAAAAAUAUGCGUCUUUAAUCGUCAGAGUCACCCUGAGGAUUGAAAGUUCAUGCGAUGCUUCUCUGCUGUGCUUUCAGUCCUUGCCGUGUGCCCUGUCUUCUCACCGCCAAGCCUUUGCACCUGCCGCUCCUUCUACCUGGAGUACCCAACCUGCCUCUCCCCACAACAAGGCCCAUUCCUCUUUCAGGCCUCUGAGCAGGUGCCACUUCCUCCAGGAAGCCUUCCAUAACUACCUGGCUCCCGUCCAUAUACCCUGAAACGCCUCUGCCUGUGCAGUGGCCUCCCACCGUGUGGUCACCGCCUGACUGCCUCUCUGUCUUUUUAUCUUUUUCACCAGGUCCUUCCUUCUCUUUUGCUCACUGCUGAAUUCCCAGCGCCUAGCAUCGAAUUUGGUGCACAAGAGGUGCACAGCAAACGCCUGUGGAAUGAGUGAACGCCCCGCGGAGGGGAAAACAGAAAUUCCUGGUGGAUGACACAGGCCCGGCGGCCGCCUGCGAGCCGAGCACGGGACCGGCUGGGCCGGCUUCGCCCGCCCUGAACCCGCCACCCGCCCCGCCGAGGGCCGCGGAACCCGUCAUCAGUUUGUGUGAGGAUUCAAUGAAGUAACACCAAAAUGUUGCAAGCCCAGACUUGGGCAUCCUUAUGUGCUCAAACAAAUGAUCUCUGGGUUCCCUAAGAAGACCUCACCUUCUGCAUCUGAAAACUAGGUCUCUCUGACUCGGAGUGAAAAGCGAAUUUACCUUUCCCCAUCCUGGUGGCAACGAGGGGGCCCAUGGUAGAACUGUGCGCAGCUUGGACAAACUCUGGGAGAGGGGUCCCAGCUGGGGUUUCCUGUUGGACGCCCUUUGGAACUCAGAGCCCCGUUGACAGGAGGAGAGAGGAGCAGUUGAUUGGACAGCUCCCCACCCAGCCAGCCACACUAUCCGAGUCUCAGGCAUUUGGUGGAGUUCAGAGAGGAGGCCUCCAGCAAGCCCAGAUUCUGCACCUGUAAAGUCCCUGGGACGGGAGGAGCUGAGGGGCAAACUGGACUCGGAGAGAAACUGCCAGGCCUCUAACUUCCGACAGGCAUAGUAACCCCACUUUACAGGAGAGGAAGGUGAGGUGGGAGAGGUAAAGUGACUUGAAGGGUCCGCCAGUGUGCAGGGCGCACAACCAGGAUUUGAGGGCAAAGCCAAACCCUCAGCCCUGGGCCCCAGGUGCCAGCCAGCUUUCAAGGGCCCACAUCUCUGGGCAGAAUCCGGCUCCGCGGUCCAAAUCCCGCAACCCCGCUACCUCCCAGCCUCCCCCAGCAGCUCUGGGAGGCCAGCGCCUCCCUCCUCAUUUCAUUUUACUCUGGCCCCCUUCUGUGGGCUGGGCACAGUGGGCACCAGACACACCACGCUUUUCUCUCAUUCAAUCCUCGCGGCAGCUCAGUGAGGGACCGUCCCCAUUUCACAGAAGGGGAAACGGACACUCCGACAGGCUCCAGGAGCUGCCCAGGGCCACACAGCUCUGCAGUAUAGGAGUCAGGAUGGAGACCGGGUCCUUUGACGGCAGGUGCUCCUUCCACUGUGUCGCAAGAACCUGCUUAGAACAGUCACCCAGUCUGAGGACCCGAGACUGCGUGCUCGUCCUGGCUUCAGCCAGCAUUUCUUGUUUUUUCUUUUCUUUUCUUUU